rnacentral:rRNA from 1 species
UUAUCGGAGAGUUUGAUCCUGGCUCAGGACGAACGCUGGCGGCGUGCCUAAUACAUGCAAGUCGAGCGGACAGAUGGGAGCUUGCUCCCUGAUGUUAGCGGCGGACGGGUGAGUAACACGUGGGUAACCUGCCUGUAAGACUGGGAUAACUCCGGGAAACCGGGGCUAAUACCGGAUGGUUGUCUGAACCGCAUGGUUCAGACAUAAAAGGUGGCUUCGGCUACCACUUACAGAUGGACCCGCGGCGCAUUAGCUAGUUGGUGAGGUAACGGCUCACCAAGGCGACGAUGCGUAGCCGACCUGAGAGGGUGAUCGGCCACACUGGGACUGAGACACGGCCCAGACUCCUACGGGAGGCAGC